CCUACGGGUGGCAGCAGUGGGGGAUGUUUGGCAAUCGGCGCAAGCCUGCCCCAGCAACGCCGCGUGAAGGAAGAAAGCUUUCGGGUUGUAAACUUCUUUUGACAAGGAAGAUCAGAAAACGGUACCUGUAGAAUAAGCCACGGCUAACUACGUGCCAGCAGCCGCGGUAAUACGUAGGUGGCAAGUGUGGACCGGAUUGACUGGGUGUAAAGGGCGUGUAGCCGGGCUGACAAGUCAGAUGUGAAAUCCGGGGGCUCAACCCCCGAACUGCAUUUGAAACUGUUGGUCUUGAGUAUCGGAGAGGCAGGCGGAAUGCGUGGUGUAGCGGUGAAAUGCGUAGAUAUGAGGAGGAACACCAGUGGCGAAGGCGGCCUGCUGGACGACAACUGACGGUGAGGCGCGAAAGCGUGGGGAGCAAACAGGAUUAGAUACCCGAGUAGUC
rnacentral:rRNA from 1 species